UACAGAGGUCUCAAGCGUUGUUCGGAUUCAUUGGGCGUAAAGGGUGCGUAGGUGGCGCGGUAAGUCGGGUGUGAAAUCUCGGAGCUUAACUCCGAAAUUGCAUUCGAUACUGCCGAGCUCGAGGACUGGAGAGGAGACUGGAAUUCAUGGUGUAGCAGUGAAAUGCGUAGAGAUCAUGAGGAAGACCAGUGGCGAAGGCGGGUCUCUGGACAGUUCCUGACACUGAGGCACGAAGGCCAGGGGAGCAAACGGG
rnacentral:rRNA from 1 species